UUUAAAAGUGAGUUGUUUGCCAAAUUAUUAUUAGUUAUGUUCUUUAAAAUUAAAGAUUUUGGCGGUAGUUUAGUCUUUUCAGAGGAACCUGUUCUAUAAUCGAUAUUCCACGAUUAAUUAAACUUAUUCUUUAAAUUUGUAUAUCGUUGUAGUUGAAUAUUUUAUAAGAAAAUAAAUUUUCAAAAAAUUUAAUUAAAAAGUAAAUCAAAUCAAGGUGCAGUUUAUGAAUAUGAAGAAAUGGGUUACAAUAAAUUUAUUUAAAUGGUUUAUUCAAUUAAAAUUGAUUUUAAAGUGGAUUUGAAAGUAAUUAAUUUAAUUUUAUUUUAAUGAUCUUAGUUUUAAAUUAUGC
rnacentral:rRNA from 1 species